UACCCUGGUAGUCCUUGCCGUAAACGAUGUGGAUUAGGUGUUGGAGGUGUCGAUCCCUUCAGCGCCGACGCUAACGCAUUAAAUCCACCACCUGGGGAGUACGGCCGCAAGGCUGAAACUCAAAGAAAUUGACGGGGACCCGCACAAGCGGUGGAGCAUGUGGUUUAAUUCGAGGCUACGCGAAGAACCUUACCCAGGCUUGACAUGUAGUUGAAUAACUGUGAAAGCUGUUAGGCUCGCAAGAGACAAUUACACAGGUGCUGCAUGGCUGUCGUCAGCUCGUGCUGUGAAGUGUUGGGUUAAGUCCCGCAACGAGCGCAACCUUUGUCCUUAGUUGCCAUCACGUUAUGGUGGGCACUCUAAGGAGACUGCCGGUGAUAAACUGGAGGAAGGAGGAGAUGACGUCAAGUCAGUAUGGCCCUUAUGCCUGGGGCUACACACGUGCUACAAUGGCCGUGACAAAGGGCUGCAAACCCGCGAGGGGGAGCAAAUCCCAAAAAAACGGCCUCAGUUCAGAUUGAAGGCUGCAACUCGCCUUCAUGAAGUCGGAAUCGCUAGUAACGGUAGAUCAGCUACGCUACCGUGAAUACGUUCCCGGGUCUUGUACACACCGCCCGUCAAGCCACCUGAGUUGGGAGCACCCGAAGUCGUUUACCUAACCCGUAAGGGAGGGAGACGCCUAAGGUGAGACUGAUAAGGAGGGCUAAGUCGUAACAAGGUAACCGUA
rnacentral:rRNA from 1 species